CUGGGAUGUGGCUCAGCGGUAAAGCACUCACCUAGCACGUACGAGGCCCUGGGUUCGAUCCUCAGCACCAGA
rnacentral:tRNA from 1 species